GAACGUUCAAAGCUGGUGCUUGCACCGACUACGAAAGUGGCAAACGGGAGAGUAACGCAUUGGAACUCACCUUGAACUCGUGAAUAACCCAUGGAAACGUGGGCUAAUACACGAUGUGGAUGGGGGGUCUUAUGACAUUCCCAUUGAAAGUUCCGACGGUUCAAGAGAGGCCUAUGUCCUAUUAGCUUGUUGGUGAGGUAAUAGCUCACCAAGGCAAUGACGGGUACCGGGCGUGAGAGCGUGACCCGGCUCACUGGGACUGAGACACUGCCCAGACUCCUACGGGAGGCUGCAGUCAAGAAUCUUCCGCAAUGCACGAAAGUGUGACGGAGCGACGCCGCGUGCCGGAUGAAGGCCUUCGGGUUGUAAACGGCUGUUCUGAGGGACAAAUUUGUGAUGGUACCUCAGCAGAAAGUGGUUGCUAACUCUGUGCCAGCAGCAGCGGUAAUACAGAGACCACGAGCGUUGACCGGAUUUAUUGGGCGUAAAGCGUGCGUAGGCGGUUUCG
rnacentral:rRNA from 1 species